UUGGAGUUAUUGUACAUUGCUCCUUCAUUGUUUAUUUCAUUCCCUGCAAAAGGUUAGUGGACAACAAAUACUCGAGGGAUGCUUAAAGAAUUUUGAAAGUAUUUCAUUUUUUGCCAUGAGAUUAGUUGUUCACAUCCACGCUUAAGGAAAAUCGAAUUCAAAGAUUCAAAUAGCGUGGAUCCUAAAAUGCGUGCCAUUACUUUAUUUCAUCAAAAAAAAAUUUGAGGGACUCUUUUAUUUCAGAAAGGUUUUUUUCGAAACUUUAUUGUUUACCAAAUUU
rnacentral:lncRNA from 1 species